rnacentral:lncRNA from 1 species
GAUUUUGUUUCUUAGUAGCCGUUGCAAUCACUCAUAUUUAAGAGAUAAUGGAUACACUUGUACAAUUAUAGGCGAUCGACUAUAUCUUACAGAACCUUCUUCAUAUAAAACAUGACCACCUCAAUAAAAAAUUACUCUAAGGGGUCGUUUGGUAGAGUGUAUUGGAAAAUAUAAUGCAUGCAUUAGUUAAUUUGUACUACUCGUACUUUGUUUGGUACGUCUUUUUU